GAUGAAGAACGUAGCGAAAUGCGAUAAGUAAUGUGAAUUGCAGAAUUCAGUGAAUCAUCGAAUCUUUGAACGCACCUUGCGCUCCUUGGUAUUCCGAGGAGCAUGCCUGUUUGAGUGUCAUUAAAUUCUCAACCUCACCAGUUUUCUGAACUGUUCUCCGAGGCUUGGAUGUGGGGGUUUGUGCAGGCUGCCUCAGCGCGGUCUGCUCCCCUGAAAUGCAUUAGCGAGUUCGAUACUGAGCUCCGUCUAUUGGUGUGAUAAUUAUCUACGCCGUGGAUCGGGGCUUAGACUCGCUUCUAACCGUCCGCAAGGACAAUACCUUGACAAUUUGACCUCAAAUCAGGUAGGACUACCCGCUGAACUUAAGCAUAUCAUAAGCGGAGGA
rnacentral:misc_RNA from 1 species